UACAGAGGUCCCAAGCGUUGUUCGGAUUCACUGGGCGUAAAGGGUGCGUAGGCGGUCGGGUAAGUCUGAUGUGAAAUCUCACAGCUUAACUGUGAAACUGCAUUGGAUACUAUUCGGCUUGAGAGUUGGAGGGGGGACUGGAAUUCUUGGUGUAGCAGUGAAAUGCGUAGAUAUCAAGAGGAACACCAGUGGCGCAGGCGGUCUCCUGGGGUCUCCUUGACGCUGAGGCGCGAAAGCUGGGGGAGCGAACGGG
rnacentral:rRNA from 1 species